rnacentral:lncRNA from 1 species
GAAUGAUCAGAGUCCGCCCAAUGCCAUUGAGAGCAGGAAUCAGAAAUAUGGUAGGCAGACAGGGUGGGAACCUUGAUUGCAACAAUUCCAUGUACAAAGUGUCUGAUGAGCCAUACAACAUGUGACCAAGCAUAUAAUCAACAUUAUGGUUGGGCAGGAGGCACAUGAUCACUGAGUGUCUCACUCUGAUUAGACAAAGAAACUCCCCUCUCUAAAAGUCAUUAGCCAAUAGCUUUAAAGGUCACCCCCAGCAACACCAUAUAAACCCAUAGACAGCAGCAGUUCUGCUGCAACCCACUCAGGACUCUUCUCCUGUGGGAGCUCACUUUCCUUUCUGUUUCAAAAAUAAAUGGUUACUUUGUUCUACCCCUCUGUUGUCCAUGGGUCUUAUUCUUCAUAUCCCUGAGACAAAGAACUCACACCUUUCCACAUCUCACUAUCAAUAAGAUGGAAACACCAAGGUCAGGGUCAGAGACAGAGAUAAGAUGAUGAAAGCAGAAAGAGAGACAGGGACAGAGGCUAUGCUGUAGACAUUGAGCAAUAAGAAAGGGGCCAUGAGCCAAGGAAUGUAGGCAGCCUCUAGAUUCUGGAAAAGGCUAGGAAACUGACUCUCUGGAGCUUCCAGAAGGAACACUUCUUGACUUCAGGAUUUUUUUCUUCCUUUCUUGCUCCUUCUCUUUUUCUGUAGUGCUACGUGUAGAACCCAGAGCCUUGCGUGCACUAGGCCAGGUGCUCUACCACUGAGCUACACACUAGGCCAAUUGUAGGACUCUCGGCCAUUAGAGUGCUACUUCAAUAAAUUUGUGUUGUUAUGAGCUACUGAGUGUGUGGUCAUUUAUUACAACAGCAACUACACAGGGACUCAAACCCAGACAGUUGACUCUAGUGCCAUCAUUCUUAAUAACCUUUAAAUAACCAUAAGCCUACCUCUAAAGUUGUGUUUUGUUACAGAUAAGCCCCACCAGAGACACUUACAAGGCAACCUAGCCGUGAACUCUGUACCAACUAACCUUGCUUCCUGCCCCACCCCUCUAGGUGACCUAGAUGUGAACUUUGCUCAUUAUAAUACUAUAUUCUCCACCAAGGGGCAUUUCUAACUGCUUUUUUUUUUUUUUUUUGAACAUGUGAUGCUUAGGAAGGCAGGAUGGUGAACUGGGGAUGCUCAAGAACGUGCUUGCCUCUACAUGUGAUGAUGAAUCCAUCCCAUGUGAAUAUGUUUGUGUUUCUCAAAUAAAAACCCCUUGCUUUGUUUGCUGGGGACACACUGCUUCCAGAAUGAUCCCCAGUGCUCUCCUUACUUGGGGAAGCAAUAAACUUCUCUUUGCUCUCUUAUCUCCUGGUUGUGCUGAUGGGCUUUUCACUCACUGAGAGGCAAACCCACUGGAUUUGCUUGCAAAAGGCCAUCAGCAGAGUAAGGGAAGGAGAGGUAGUGUUCCUGCAGGUUGAUGUGGGAGUUAUGUGGCAUUAACCUGAAUAAACAGGGAAAGUGAAUAAACACAGGAAAAUGUUCAUGAUAUAGUGAGAAAAUUUUCAAUAUUGGAAAUAACUGCUCUUCCCUUUCUAUUUUCAGAAAUACAUGGGUAAGUGUGUUUAUUUUUAUAACCAUAUGUGCAUG